rnacentral:rRNA from 1 species
GAGUUUGAUUCUGGCUCAGAGUGAACGCUGGCGGCGUGCCUAAUACAUGCAAGUCGAACGGUAACAGGAAGUAGCUUGCUACUUUGCUGAUUAGUGGCGCACGGGUGAGUAAUGCAUAGGUCAUGUGCCCCAUAGUCUGGGAUAGCCACUGGAAACGGUGAUUAAUACUGGAUACUCCCGAGAGGGGAAAGUUUUUCGCUAUGGGAUCAGCCUAUGUCCUAUCAGCUUGUUGGUGAGGUAAUGGCUCACCAAGGCUAUGACGGGUAUCCGGCCUGAGAGGGUGAACGGACACACUGGAACUGAGACACGGUCCAGACUCCUACGGGAGGCAGCAGUAGGGAAUAUUGCUCAAUGGGGGAAACCCUGAAGCAGCAACGCCGCGUGGAGGAUGAAGGUCUUCGGAUUGUAAACUCCUUUUCUAAGAGAAGAUUAUGACGUUCU